CUGUUCGUUAUUGGAUUUAUUUCUAAGAAUGUCAUGAAAACAAUAAAAACAACACCACGACAGAUUCCAAAGAGCAAUCAAUUCUUUCAGUGUUUGGUGGAGACAUUCUUCUCAUUUGGCACCAACAUUUCAAGCAACAUCGUGAUGGAACAAAAAUGUUCAAAAUAUAGCAUUAACACAUUUUCUAAUGAUAAUAUACAUACAAACAAGUCCUACUAAUGAAAACAAAUGAAAGCUGAUGCAUCAAUAAUCAACCUAGGUAUACCUCUCAAUGGAGGCUACUCGGUCAAAAAUUUUUAAAAAAUACUUAAAAAAAACAAACAACUUAUAUUAAGUGUAAUUAUGUCAAUUAGUCAUGUAAUUAAAUGUGUAUUAGAUCUAGACUAACAACAAUAAAUCUGUGGGAUUGGAAAUGUUUUUAGCAAUUGUUUUUUUGUUUAGAGCAAUUUCAUGCUUUUAGCUUUUUCACUACGCUAUGAUCUUAUCACUUUGUCUGGACCAGUGGGGAGGAAGGGGAGGGGAGAAAGAAGGGGGGCUCUGAAUGAAUGUUAUCGUGAUCACUUUUUAAUUAAAAAAAGGGAGCUAAUUCAACUUAUAUCACCACAUCUGUCAAUUACAUUUUCUUUCCCUUGUUCGAUAACAAACCAAAUUCUUAAUUGCCAUUAGUUAAUUAAUUAACUGGUUAGUUUUUUAUUGAUACUUGUUUUUGUCAGAUACAAGAAAUAAUUUUGCGAAAUUUGAAUUUGAUCCGAGAUUGGGUGUGGAAGAAACAACGUGUACACUUUUUUUACCAGACAGACAGAGAGAAUGAGUUGAUUGAAGCUAUGUCAAAAUUACCGACAAAAAAUGACAGUGAUGGCGGAAAUUCUUUAACAUUGUUUUAGAGAGAGACAAAUGUACCCAGUAACGUACAGUGUCUGAGACAACAGAAGGGCAUUCAGUAGUAUUAGUAGUCUAUCAUUUUAAAUAUUAUUUGUGCCUACAAUGGCAUUAAACAAAAUUUUGUCUAAGUUAUAAAAAAUGUAAUGAUUGUCUCUGUGUAAAAAAGAUAUUUAGUUUUUACUUUGAUCUUCUUUUAUAUUUAUAUUGACAUUAUUAUUAUUAUUAUUAUUUACAACAUGCGAUUUUAAAUUAGCUAUUGAAAAAUUUAAGCCUAUUUGGUAAAAGUUCCAAUAACUUUAGACCCUGUCUAGACAGCUAACGGUCAUUUGAAAUUAUGGACAAUGUGCACUGGAAACACCCAUAAAUAUAUAUUUACUUUAAGAUCUUAGUAUUGUCCCUAUCCGGAUAAUAAUCAGAACAAACCUUUGCAGUGAUUCCAUUUAUUAGAGUGUAGUGGGUUAUUAUUUUUUUUUUUGUAAACUUAC